UACAGAGGGGGCAAGCGUUGUUCGGAAUUACUGGGCGUAAAGGGCGCGUAGGCGGCCGCCUAAGUCAGACGUGAAAUCCCUCGGCUCAACCGGGGAACUGCGUCUGAUACUGGGUGGCUUGAAUUCGGGAGAGGGAUGCGGAAUUCCAGGGUGUAGCGGUGAAAUGCGUAGAUAUCUGGAGGAACACCGGUGGCGAAGGCGGCAGUCCUGGACCGAGAUUGACGCUGAGGCGCGAAAGCCAGGGGAGCAAACGGG
rnacentral:rRNA from 1 species